rnacentral:rRNA from 1 species
GAUGGACGCUAGCUACAGGCUUAACACAUGCAAGUCGAGGGACCGGCGCACGGGUGAGUAACACGUAACCCACCUUCAUUGUACUCGGGGACAGCUUGUCGCAAGAACUAUUACUACACGACGUAAUGUAUGGGGAUGCGUUCCGUUAGGUUGUUGGUGAGGUACCGGCUCACCCAGCCUUCGCUGGAUAGGGGUGCUGAGAGGAAGGUCCCCCACAUUGGAGCUGCGACACGGACCAAACGCGUACGGAAGGCAGCAGAAAGGUAUAUUGGUCAAUGGGCGUUAGCCUGAACCAGCCAAGUAGCGUGAAGGAUGAAGGCUUAUGAGUCGUAAACUUGUGUUAUGUAAGAAUAUGUAUUAUAUGAAUAAGGAUCGGCUAACUCCGUGCCAGCAGCCGCGGUAAUAC